UACGUAGGGGCCGAGCGUUGUCCGGAGUUAUUGGGCGUAAAGAGCUCGUAGGCGGUGUGUCGCGUCGGCCGUGAAAACCUGGGGCUUAACUCUGGGCUUGCGGUCGAUACGGGCAUCACUGGAGUUCGGCAGGGGAGACUGGAAUUCCUGGUGUAGCGGUGAAAUGCGCAGAUAUCAGGAGGAGCACCGGUGGCGAAGGCGGGUCUCUGGGCCGAUACUGACGCUGAGGAGCGAAAGCAUGGGGAGCGAACAGG
rnacentral:rRNA from 1 species